AUUGAACGCUGGAGGCAGGCCUAACACAUGCAAGUCGAGCGGAGCGGCGGACGGGUGAGUAAUGCCUAGGAAUCUGCCUGGUGGUGGGGGAUAACGUCCGGAAACGGGCGCUAAUACCGCAUACUAUCAGAUGAGCCUAGGUCGGAUUAGCUAGUUGGUGGGGUAAAGGCCUACCAAGGCGACGAUCCGUAACUGGUCGGAGAGGAUGAUCAGUCACAUUGGAACUGAGACACGUUCCAGACUCCCACGCGAGGCAGCAGUGGGGAAUAUUGUACAAUGGGCGAAAGCCCUAUCCAGCCAUGCCGCGUGGGUGAAGAAGUUCUUCGGAUUGUAAAGCACUUUAAGUUGGGAGGCGUUACCAACAGAAUCAGCACCGGCUAACUUCGUGCCAGCAGCCGCGGUAAUAC
rnacentral:rRNA from 1 species